rnacentral:rRNA from 1 species
UACAGAGGUCCCAAGCGUUGUUCGGAUUCACUGGGCGUAAAGGGUGCGUAGGUGGUUGGGUAAGUCUGGUGUGAAAUCUCCGAGCUUAACUCGGAAAUGGCAUUGGAUACUAUUCGGCUAGAGGGUUUGAGGGGGGACUGGAAUACUUGGUGUAGCAGUGAAAUGCGUAGAUAUCAAGUGGAACACCAGUGGCGAAGGCGAGUCCCUGGAAAACUCCUGACACUGAGGCACGAAAGCUAGGGGAGCAAACAGG